rnacentral:tRNA from 2 species
GCAUCUCCCUUACACCGAGAAGUCAUCCGUGCAAGUCGGAUUACCCU